GCUAUGUAUGAAGCAUGUUCAGCUUUUACUUAAGGCUAAGUUAGCAGUUGCAGACAGGCCAAAGGCGUGAGCGAUGCCUCUGUAUAAUACUAAAAUGGUACCUUGGUAUGCAUCGGAGGAGUUUAUAAGUAUCACUGCUAUACUGUUUCAGAAUCCGUACAAGUCAGAAAUAAUUAAAAAAAAAUGAAGUCAGGACCGUUGAGCUUUACGGAAAGGGGGAGAUAGCCAAGGGAUUAUUUCUCACAACAGUGCCAGCAGCUAUUCUUGUUUCUUCUUCUUCUGAUAGACGAUCCCUAAAUGUGUCUCUCUGAGUGAUGCUGUACAGCUGCACAGCUGCACUUUCUUGAAGAGAGGGGCGUUUUGUGCGUUUCUGUCUUCAUGACACACGUCUGAUGAGAGAGGCAAGGCCGACACAGGUGGCACAAGUAAGCCAAGGGUUUUUGCCAAGAAUGUGGCACACGGCCAGCACAAUUGAGAAGUGCUUGCACACACUAGGGACCGAUGCCAUUGGAAAGCAGAUCAACUUACAGCAGUGAAAAAGAAGAGGAAAUUCUAAAGGGGUUACCCAGAAGAUAACCUGAGCUUCUGUCUCCAAUAAAUGUGUCACACGAUAGCCACUCUGAAAUCUUGCGUCUUAUUAGGGCAAAACUCAAAUAUAGCAGCAGGCCGGUGUUGAUGUCCAAGCCAGAGCCUCAUGCCCAGAAGGCUUAUUGUGUUUUUAUGUCCUUUUGAUCUUCCUCUGACAGUUUCUUCAUUUACAAGGAGCAACAACUGCAUUAAGGAGAGCUAACCAAGUGAGGCCAUGAAGGGCUGCUGGAGUCCAUCCCGAAAAACCUUUUGGUCUGAAGACAGUGAGCUGUACAGUUUGAUGUAUAUGAUUUUCUUACUACAUGCUGAAUUUCUCAAUAAUUAAACAUAAAUAUUUUUA